AGAGUUUGAUCCUGGCUCAGGAUGAACGCUGGCGGCGUGCCUAACACAUGCAAGUCGAACGGGUGUACGGGAAGGAAGGCUUCGGCCGGAAAACCUGUGCAUGAGUGGCGGACGGGUGAGUAACGCGUGGGCAACCUGGCCUGUACAGGGGGAUAACACUUAGAAAUAGGUGCUAAUACCGCAUAACGGGGGAAGCCGCAUGGCUUUUCCCUGAAAACUCCGGUGGUACAGGAUGGGCCCGCGUCUGAUUAGCCAGUUGGGCAGGGUAACGGCCUACCAAAGCGACGAUCAGUAGCCGGCCUGAGAGGGCGGACGGCCACACUGGGACUGAGACACGGCCCCGACUCCUACGGGAGGCAGCAGUGGGGGAUAUUGCACAAUGGGGGGAGCCCUGAUGCAGCGACGCCGCGUGGGUGAAGAAGCGCCUCGGCGCGUAAAGCCCUGUCAGCAGGGAAGAAAAUGACGGUACCUGAAGAAGAAGCCCCGGCUAACUACGUG
rnacentral:rRNA from 1 species